UACAGAGGGUGCGAGCGUUAAUCGGAGUUACUGGGCGUAAAGGGCGCGUAGGUGGUUGUGUAAGUUGGAUGUGAAAUCCCUGGGCUUAACCUAGGAACUGCAUACAAAACUGCAUAGCUAGAGUACUGUAGAGGGUAGUGGAAUUUCCGGUGUAGCGGUGAAAUGCGUAGAGAUCGGAAGGAACACCAGUGGCGAAGGCGGCUACCUGGACAGAUACUGACACUGAGGCGCGAGAGCGUGGGGAGCAAACAGG
rnacentral:rRNA from 1 species